rnacentral:rRNA from 1 species
UACGUAGGUGGCAAGCGUUGUCCGGAUUUACUGGGCGUAAAGAGCGCGCAGGCGGUCGUUCAAGUCGCGUGUGAAAGCCCCCGGCUCAACUGGGGAGGGUCACGCGAUACUGAUCGACUCGAAGGCAGGAGAGGGGAAGUGGAAUUCCCGGUGUAGUGGUGAAAUGCGUAGAUAUCGGAGGAACACCAGUGGCGAAGGCGACUUCCUGGCCUGUUCUUGACGCUGAGGCGCGAAGCUAGGGGAGCAAACGGG